rnacentral:ncRNA from 2 species
CGUAGAUUGCUACGUGACGGUUCUCCUCACGGAGAUCAAAAGGGAACGUGGUGCGGGAAUGUCCCAACUUUCGGGAUCGUCUCAAUGCCAUGGCUGCCCCCGCAACUGUAAGCGGUGAAUCUCUCGUCAUAUGCCACUGGGAAUCUCGGUCCCGGGAAGGCGACGCAGAGGUAACGACCCGCGAGCCAGGAGACCUGCCGUCAGCCGUGGUCACAC